UAUUGGACAAUGGGGGGAACCCUGAUCCAGCGACGCCGCGUGAGUGAAGAAGUAUUUCGGUAUGUAAAGCUCUAUCAGCAGGGAAGAAAGAAAUGACGGUACCUGACUAAGAAGCCCCGGCUAACUACGUGCAAGCAGCAGCGGUAAUACGUAGGGGGCAAGCGUUAUCCGGAUUUACUGGGUGUAAAGGGAGCGUAGACGGCGCGGCAAGUCUGAAGUGAAAGGCAGGGGCUUAACCCCUGAACUGCUUUGGAAACUGCCAUGCUAGAGUGCUGGAGAGGUAAGUGGAAUUCCUAGUGUAGCGGUGAAAUGCGUAGAUAUUAGGAGGAACACCAGUGGCGAAGGCGGCUUACUGGACAGUAACUGACGUUGAGGCUCGAAAGCGUGGGGAGCAAACAGG
rnacentral:rRNA from 1 species